GACGAACGCUGGCGGCGUGCUUAACACAUGCAAGUCGAACGGAAAGGCACUGCUUUUGUGGGGUGCUCGAGUGGCGAAGGGGUGAGUAACACGUGAGUAACCUGCCCUUGACUUUGGGAUAACUUCAGGAAACUGGGGCUAAGACCGGAUAGGAUCUCCCGCUGCAUGGUGGGGGUUGGAAAGUUUCUGCGUGUGUGGAUGGAUGGGCGGCUGAUCGGCUUGUUGGUGGGGUAGUGGCUGACCAAGCCUUGGGCGGGUAGCCGGCCUGGGAGGGUGGACGGCCUCAAGGGGACUGAGAGACGGCGCAGACGCGAAUGUGAGGCAGUAGUGGGGAGCAUGGCCCAGUGGUCGGGCGCGUGAUGCAGAGGCCCCGGGUGUGGGAUGCCGGCUUUUGGGUUGUAAACCGCUUUCGCCUGUGACGCAGCGUUUGUGACGGUAAUGAGUAAAGAAGCACCGGCUAACUACGUG
rnacentral:rRNA from 1 species